ensembl:snRNA U6 U6 spliceosomal RNA
GUGCUCACUUCAGCAGCACAUAUACUAAAAUUGAAACGAUACAGAGAAGAUUAUCAUGGCCCCUGCGCAAGGAUGACAUACAAAUUUGCGAAGCGUUCCUUAUUUUU